UGGUACUCGGAGGGAGGUUGUCCGUGGUGAGUUCGCAUUAUUUAAUGAUGCCCAAUACACGGUCAACCUCUUUUCGGUAUCA
rnacentral:pre_miRNA from 1 species